CACACAAACAUUGGUUUAUGUGCUCUGUGCAGAACUGUAAGCACGCGGCUCACCAAAGAACAUUACUUUACUUAAAUACACUCUUAAUUCUCUCUCUUAGGGUUAAACUUACCCUUUUCCUACCGCUAAUACUGCCAUGGCUUCUUCAUUUCUUUUGAACUGCUACGACUUCGUUCCAGGUUUAUCUUCUCCCAGGAGUCAUCAUCAUACAAUGGAGACGAUGUCAAGAACUGGUCGGUUAAUAAUACCUCAUGAUGUAUCAAGCUUCUCGCUGGUUUCGGUGAGUUGAUGGUAUGCCUAUGGUUAGGUAGGGAAUGAAGCAAAUGGUCCGUGCUUGUUGUUGUAGGAUAGAUGUAUAAAAUUCAAUGUCUAUCUUCUUCUCUUCUGUAUUUUUAUAUUAUUUGAAUUCUUGAAAAUUUCAGUCGUUUCUUGAUUCUAAUUAUUAACUUAACUCCUUUACAAAA